rnacentral:rRNA from 1 species
CGAAAGCCUGACGGAGCAAGACCGCGUGAGGGAGGAAGGCUCUUGGGUUGUAAACCUCUUUUCUCAGGGAAGAAGCUCUGACGGUACCUGAGGAAUCAGCCUCGGCUAACUCCGUGCCAGCAGCCGCGGUAAUACGGAGGAGGCAAGCGUUAUCCGGAAUUAUUGGGCGUAAAGCGUCCGCAGGUGGCGAUUCAAGUCUGCUGUCAAAGCACGGGGCUUAACUCCGUUAAGGCAGUGGAAACUGAAUGGCUAGAGUGCCGUAGGGGUAGAGGGAAUUCCCGGUGUAGCGGUGAAAUGCGUAGAGAUCGGGAAGAACAUCGGUGGCGAAAGCGCUCUACUGGACGGCAACUGACACUCAGGGACGAAAGCUAGGGGAGCG